rnacentral:rRNA from 1 species
UGGGGAAUAUUGGACAAUGGGCGCAAGCCUGAUCCAGCCAUGCCGCGUGUGUGAAGAAGGCCUUCGGGUUGUAAAGCACUUUCAGCGAGGAGGAAGGGUGGUGUGUUAAUAGCACAUCAUUUUGACGUUACUCGCAGAAGAAGCACCGGCUAACUCUGUGCCAGCAGCCGCGGUAAUACAGAGGGUGCAAGCGUUAAUCGGAAUUACUGGGCGUAAAGCGCACGUAGGCGGUUUUUUAAGUCAGAUGUGAAAGCCCCGGGCUCAACCUGGGAAUUGCAUUUGAAACUGGGAAACUAGAGUGUGUGAGAGGGGGGUUAGAAAUUCCAAGUGUAGCGGUGAAAUGCGUAGAGAUUUGGAGGAAUACCAGUGGCGAAGGCGGCCCCCUGGCACAACACUGACGCUCAGGUGCGAAAGCGUGGGGAGCAAACAGGAUUAGAUGCCCUGGUAGUCCACGCCGUAAAACGAUGUCUACUAGCUGUUCGUGACCUUGUGUUGUGAGUAGCGCAGCUAACGCACUAAGUAGACCGCCUGGGGAGUACGGUCGCAAGAUUAAAA